rnacentral:other from 1 species
ACGGAGCUGCCUGGUGCGUCAGGACGCUGUCACCCCGGGGCCUUUCAUAACCUCUAGGGAGCUGUCCCUGUCGCGACCGUGGUCGCGAUACAUGGCGCCCACCUGCGUUCGCAGGCCACGGAGGGUUUAGCAAUGCCUACGGCCGAGGCGGCCCCGUC